GAUCAUGGCUCAGGACGAACGCUGGCGGCGUGCCUAACACAUGCAAGUCGAACGGAAAAUUGAGCUUCGGUUCAAUUUUUAGUGGCGAACGGGUGAGUAACGCGUAGGCAACCUGCCCUUUAGACGGGGACAACAUUCCGAAAGGGAUGCUAAUACCGGAUGUGACGCUCCUAUCGCAUGAGGGGAGGCGUGAAGAAUGGCCUCUACAUGUAAGCUAUCGCUAAAGGAAUGGGCCGUGCG
rnacentral:rRNA from 1 species